rnacentral:rRNA from 1 species
UACGGGGGGGGCAAGCGUUUGUUCGGAAUUACUGGGCGUAAAGGGCUCGUAGGCGGCCAACUAAGUCAGACGUGAAAUCCCUCGGCUUAACCGGGGAACUGCAUCUGAUACUGGAUGGCUUGAGUUCGGGAGAGGGAUGCGGAAUUCCAGGUGUAGCGGUGAAAUGCGUAGAUAUCUGGAGGAACACCGGUGGCGAAGGCGGCAUCCUGGACCGGACACUGACGCUGAGGAGCGAAGCCAGGGGAGCAAACGGG